rnacentral:rRNA from 1 species
UACGGGGGGGGCAAGCGUUGUUCGGAAUUACUGGGCGUAAAGGGCUCGUAGGCGGCCAACUAAGUCGGAUGUGAAAUCCCCAGGCUUAACCUGGGAACUGCAUCUGAUACUGGAUGGCUUGAAUCCGGGAGAGGGAUGCGGAAUUCCUGGUGUAGCGGUGAAAUGCGCAGAUAUCAGGAGGAACACCGGUGGCGAAGGCGGGUCUCUGGGCCGACACUGACGCUGAGGAGCGAAAGCGUGGGGAGCGAACAGG